UACGUAGGCAGCAAGCGUUGUUCGGAUUUAUUGGGCGUAAAGAGCGUGUAGGCGGCCAGGUAGGUCUGCUGUGAAAACUCGAGGCUCAACCUCGAGACGUCGGCGGAAACCAUCUGGCUAGAGUCCGGAAGAGGAGAGUGGAAUUCCUGGUGUAGCGGUGAAAUGCGCAGAUAUCAGGAAGAACACCCGUGGCGAAGGCGGCUCUCUGGGACGGUACUGACGCUGAGACGCGAAAGCGUGGGGAGCAAACAGG
rnacentral:rRNA from 1 species